AGAAUCCCGUAGCUCAUUGUUGGUCAGAGCCAUCACAUUGCAAGAGGAAAUUUUGUACUGUAUGCCGGAAACGUUUAGAUGAAAGCCCAGUAGUUCAUUGUCUAAUUUGUGAAUAUUUUGCACACAUUGAAUGUCAAGACUUUGCAGUGCCGGAUUGUAAAGAAAAUGCAACGUAUGUUCCUGGAAAAGAAUUAUUAAGCGUUCGACAUAUCGUUAGUACAAUUUUAUGUUUCAUAAUCCAAUAAUGUAUUUAAUGUCAAUAUAUAACAAUUGCUUAAGAAUUAUUAUAAUUAUUUUUACUAUAA